rnacentral:rRNA from 1 species
UACGUAGGGUGCGAGCGUUGUCCGGAAUUAUUGGGCGUAAAGGGGCUCGUAGGCGGUCUGUUGCGUCAGGAGUGAAAACUCGGGGCUUAACCCCCGAGCCUGCUUCUGAUACGGGCAGACUAGAGGUAUGCAGGGGAGAACGGAAUUCCUGGUGUAGCGGUGAAAAUGCGCAGAUAUCAGGAGGAACACCGGUGGCGAAGGCGGUUUCUCUGGGCAUUUACCUGACGCUGAGGAGCGAAAAGUGUGGGGAGCG